UACGUAGGGUGCGAGCGUUGUCCGGAAUUAUUGGGCGUAAAGCGUGCGCAGGCGGUUUUGUAAGUCUGUCGUGAAAGCCCCGGGCUCAACCUGGGAAUUGCGAUGGAGACUGCAAGGCUUGAAUCUGGCAGAGGGGGGUAGAAUUCCACGUGUAGCAGUGAAAUGCGUAGAGAUGUGGAGGAAUACCGAUGGCGAAGGCAGCCCCCUGGGAUAACACUGACGCUCAUGCACGAAAGCGUGGGGAGCAAACAGG
rnacentral:rRNA from 1 species